AGAGUGGGCCAGGUGAUCGCUCUUGUUCGCAAGGGAGGAAAGUCCGGGCUCCGCAGGGCACGGUGGUGGAUAACGUCCACCGUCCGCGAGGACAGGGAAAGUGCCACAGAAAAUAUACCGCCGAUGGCGCGGCGGACGUGCAAACGACGCCGUUUAGCCACACACUUCAGGUGUGUGGCGGCACAGGUAAGGUUGAAAUGGUGCGGUAAGAGCGCACCGCGGAACUGGCGACAGUUCUGGCAGGGUAAACCCCACCGGGAGCAAGACCAAGCAGGAGGAACCCCGCAAGGGGACGAAGCGGCCCGUUUCGUCUGACCUCCGGGUCGGUCGCGUCGAGGCGGGCGAGCAAUCCCCGCCCCAGAGAAAUGAUCACCCCCGACAAAACCCGGCUUAUCGGCCCGCUCUGGAA
rnacentral:RNase_P_RNA from 1 species